ACAUCUGUGGGGUGUGGGAGGGAAAUGCACCGCCCAAAAUGAGAGCAAACACUGGGAUGAGGGCAGCAUGAAGGGAGAGACAGAACUCAGUGAGAAGCAGCCUGUCUCGCAGGCUUGCCAGAACUCCAAUGACAUGAAUGUGUGUGAAGAUUUUUUAUGCCAGCCACCUGUGUGACAGAAAUACGGUAGUAAUGUUUUCAUCCCACAGAUAAGCUACAUCGGUGUCUCCAGAGAGGGAACCGUAUGGUGGGUCUGGUACAAAGGUAAUCCUAUAAAACCCUGCGUGCAAGACAUGAAAUGCUGUUCCCGGAGCUGAUUUUCUCCCAGAGAGCCCUUCAAGCCACCAUCAUUCAGUACCACAUAACAGAGCCAUGAGGCAGACAGCCUCAGGACCAGUGGCAGGGCAGGCAGGGGGCAGCCUGUGGGGCAGACUCACUGCAAGGACUGGUUGGGACCUCUCCCCAGCCUGCAGCCCACCUCGGGGCCUGGCUGCAAGGGCAAUGGAUAAGGCACUAAGAAAUCAUUUGGAAAAAGAAGAUGUAUCUCCACUUUACCACUGAAUUGCUGCAGUCAGCAGAAUGUUAUCACUCUGCUCCGGGUCCCUUACAUAAGAAGUAGAGAUGAAGGCAAACUGGCCACUUAAGUAAAGUUACUAUUUGAGACUUAUUCAAUAAAAUACUAUGCGCAUACAAAUAAUUCUUGUGUGUCCAUUUCCCCCCAAGUCUUAUAACAGAGAUGAUUUUCCUGAAGCAGGGGCUGUAAAGAAGCCGAAACAGCAGAAACCCGGUAGUAAGAAUGUUCCAUUCAUCCACAGGCUCAGCCUGUGCAUCCCCACCUAAAAGCAACAUUCAGCCCAUUGUGACCCAAUGCUGCUCUCACAUAAGCUUGAGUGGUGAAAGAAGAGGUGUACGCCUCACAUGCAGACUGCUGCCUGAGAAAAUUAUCUAGUAACUGUUAUUAUAGGGCAUCUUUACGUUAAGGCUGGUCCAGGCUGUAGCGGGAACACUAAGCCAUGGCCUGAAACAGUGAUUGAGCACCUGGUGGAAGGCAGGGCCAACCCAGGGGCGCUCAGGUGCAUGCAGUGCACCUGAUUGACAGGGAGGGGUGAAGCCAGGAUCCACCCCUUCCCAGACCUCAUUUAAGGUUUGGCAGUGGGGGGGGGGUAAAGGCAUCUCUUUGGAGGUCCCUGCCUUCUGGACGCCUUCUGAAGGUAAGCAGGUGGUUUUUUUUUUUCUUCAUUUCUGUGUCUAUGGCUGUUGCAGCUUAGGAUUGUGGUGCUCUGCUAUUGUUGCUGUACCUUCUAUCACAUUACAGCAUUACAUAGGCCAGUGUAGCUGGUAGCAUGCCCUUGUGAGACACUGCCUGUUGAUCUGACCAUAUAGUAACACCAGUAACUGCCAGAAACUCGUGAUGGGCUUAAGCAAAGUGAAUUCUGCUGAGGAGACAGUGCACCUCUCAACCUAGUGGUUUCCUAUGUCCGGAACAGUCCCCAGGUAUGUUGUAGGGAAAGGCAUUUUAUCUGACCAGCUGUACAGCAUACAGGCACAAGCUGUAGCCAGCAUGUGUGCAAGCUCCUGGCUUGUCACAUGAGUCUGAGCAUUUCAACCCCCAGUGUACAAUGAGAGUUAGCAGGCUUUCAAGGUACCUUGCAUGAGCUCAGAUAUUGAUCAGCUCUGCUGCUAUUUGUAUUACAUGUGCUAUGCCCAGCAAAAAGCAUGCUUUCUGUUCUGAUUUCAUAUCUUUUGUUCACUAACUUCUAAUCAACAGAAGCAAAUAACUUCUCCUGUGUCAUCUCUAUUUUACAGUGCUAAAACCAGCUAUUUAUGUAGCUGCUCUGUGUGUAACUCUACAGACCAGAAUGCUCUUCUCGUGAAGGGCUUAUGGCCCAACUGCAUGUGGGAUUUGAGUGGCUAACUAGAAUCUCUGCAAGUUAUCUGUUGCUUCUUUAUAAGCCCCGCUUCCUUUCUUUACGUCCCCAUUUGGACUGGGGAUAAUGAACUUCCUGUAUCGUGCACUGCCACACAAGGAAACCCAUUGUAUGCGAACCAAGGAAGAGUAUAUCAGUGAGUGGUUUGUAAGGCAGCUCUGGCGGGUCUUGUUAGAAUGACUUAUUCUCAGAGUUCCAGUGGUUUGAUUAAGUGGAUCAUGUGAUAAGCACUUAUAAUGAACUUCUUCACAUGCUGCCAGGGGAAGCCCAGCAGAUAAAGUGCUUAAUCCCACGGCAUUGCUCUGUGCAUAACAAACUGAUUGCGAAGACAGAAGAGUCAUGCAAUUCAUUGGCUUCUCCUACCCAGGAUAGCACAACAGUGUUAUACAAUUUUCUUUCUGCUGCCCAAGUCAAAAUAUUCUUGCUACUAAAUCCAGUUCAAACUAGCACGCUUUUCCUCCCGCUGCUCACCAAGCUCUCAACCAGGCAGGUUACAGCUGAGUGUAACCACCUGCAGCAAGCCUAGGCAUGCUUCUGAGUGCUUUCUUUCUUGUUAAAGAAAACAGUCCCCCAGAAACAACAACAAACAAGAACCGAGCAUAAACUUCUGAGUAACCCCAGCUAGUCUGUUUUAAAAAUAAAAAUCUAGGUCAGCCUGAAUCACCACAGGGGUAAUCUUCAUUUCACUCCCGACAGUAGCAGAGGUCAACAAGGCAGCCUCACAAAGGGGCAUCUCUUGCAGUUUUGGCCCAAACCUGCGGGAUCAAUGACCAGGGAAGCAAACAUCAGAUGUGUUCUCUCUUUCUCCCCCCCAGCUGGUGGCUCACACUUUGCUUUACAAAACAUCCUGGCUGAGCCAUGAGGUGGGAUGUGCUCGUUCCGGCCCUGUCUGCUGGAACAAAUUGUGGUGCUGCUUCUCCAAGGCCAGUGCCAUAUCCCUGACUCCUCUGUAGCAAGGGUAUGACGGGGGGGUACCUUUAGGAAAGUCAUCGUCAGGUCCUGGGACUGAGAUGAGUGCCAGGCCUCAAAGAGAUCUGCUCCCUGACCAGCAAUAUCCGCAUGCUCCCAUUACCAAAGGCAACAACUAUGUGUCCCAGGACCUGCCUGUUGCUCUGGUACACCUGAUGAAAAUGCCUAUGAAAGCUCUGCUACCCAGAAAAGGGCUGGGAGCUCUACUUGCACACUCAGGUGUCAGGAUGGAGGGGGCAACCACUUCAGUAGCGUAUGCUACUGAAGGAGCACAGGGCGAUACGUGGGUGGUGGGCUUUCAGUGAGGUAGCUGCAUUUACUUGGGACCCUUACAUCAGAAAAACAGUGGUGCAGGCAUGGAUAAUGCUUCUCCCUUUAGGUACUUACUGAUACCAGAGGUGAGACUUUACUGAGUGGUAGCUGAUGAGGCAGCACCUGCAAAGCUAGCUUCAGGAACGCCUGUCCUCAGGCUACCUCACUCUUGGUAAUCCCACUAAGUAAUUAGUUCUUUAGGGUCAUGGAGUGAAGCACUUUUAAAGUGAUCAUCUUGGGAGUCCAGGUGUCAGGAGAAACAACAGGCAGAAGCAGCAUGUCAUGUCACCUUACCAGCAGGAUGUGUCUGUGCUGCGCAUCAGCAAAAGGGUUAAUAUUGUUUGAUGCAAGGCUGAAUCAGCCAGGUGGUGGUAACUGUUACCUCACUCAGAGCCUUUACAUUUCCUCUUGCUCUGCAGUCAUACUGAGAAUGAAGGAGGGCUUAGCCUUACAGAAGUACAAUCACUUGUGCAUCAUAACUAGAAAGCCAGUAUAGCCACAAAGCUGCUUCUGCACAGCACUCAGAACAAUCUUGGUUCUGGCUGGCUUCACGCUGCGCUCCCUACUCUGCUUGUUCUCACACGUACCAGCAGCCCCACAUCACCCAUGCGCUGUGCUGAGCACCUCACUGAAUCCCAGUUCGUGUACGCAGGCACGUAGGCAGCCCUGAGAGUGAGAUCCUGUGCUUGCAGCUUGCAGGCCCCAAGAGCAAGUUUAAGAGCAUCCCUGCAAUGUAUCAAUGUAUUGACAAGCUAGGUUGGGUGGCAGACUCAUCACACCCAGUGCAGUGGUUAUAGAGAGACACAGCAAUGGAACAUUUGCCAGGUGAAGAAUGCAAGCAUGAAUAUCAGAUUGACUUCUUACACGAAUCGGAACAUCAGAUGGGUAGGGAUGAUGCCCUGCUUUCUGGCCUGACCUAUUUUGUCACUUAUCUGUAUGAUAAGGAACAGUCAAGGCUUGUGGCAUCUCACAGUAAGCCUAGGAGAUGGUAAAAAGUGUUUGUUCAGGCAGUUGACCUAUAAAUACAACUGUAGUUUAAAAUGCACAUCAAAUUUUGUAUAUCAGCUUUCCUAUACGGUGUUACUAACCAUUACGUUUCCUUAGGUCACAUUAUUCCUCAAUUAAUGAGAUUGCACAGGUGUAAUCAAAGGCAUAAUGUGAUACCAAUCAGAUUUCAUCAGCAAAGUGCUGUUUCCAGCUGUGAUGGCAUGGGAGAAAGAAGGCCUUAUCUUGAUGUAUUUUCCAGCUAAUAGGAGUACACAAACCUAAUAGUGAGAAAAAUGUUUAAAAAUACCCUUUUUGUGCGAUCAGUAAGAACCAAGAGCUGCAACAUUAUGAUGCUGCUAUUAGAUUCAGUCAUCAUCGGAGGGUAACUUAAUUGUAAUUCUGUAAACCAGGUUAAAAUUUGCUCUUCGAGUUGUUUCCACUUGACAGGGAUAUCUCCUGGAAAUGUUGGCUCAUUGUCCUUAAUUGCAUUUGGGUAUUUUGAACUGAACAUCCACCCCCACAGCAUUUAACUCACAAGUUUGAUAUUUCAGAUUACGUAUGGAUGUUGAGCAUGGAAGGCCUUUACUCCACAAUUAAAACGGUUCAGGUAAAAGUCAUUUACCCUUAAACUGUUAAGCAACUAGCGAAUUUUAACAGCCUGUAUUUAUUUAGUCUUAUGUUAAAUCAGUGUCUCCCGAGCUCUGUGUGCCCAGUUUGAGAAACUGAAUCCACCAAAUUCCCCAAGAACUAACAGAGAUUUCUGUAAAAGUGAGGCUCACUGAGGCUACGUAUUCCAAAUAGAGAGCCAGGCUAUGGUAUUUCAUUUCUCACUCCUCUACCACGACAUAACUCUGCUACAAAGGUGCACUGUGAGAUUUCAGCUUUUAAAUUUUUAGCAGCUGAAGAGCAUCGGUGAGCAUUAAGUAAAAUUUCUUUCAGACUUAGCAAUCUUUACCACAUCUUUUCCUUCUACGUGACAAAACAGAUAAAGGAGUUUGUGGUUUAAAACAUGGACACUAAGCUAACCAUGAUCCAGGUGAAACUGUGAAUAUUGUGCAUUAGAUCCUUUGGAGUAUUUCUGUGCUUUUUUGCUGCUCUCCUACUUUCAUGUAUUAAAUAUUGUCUACAGAUUUCCUGUGUAGGCCCAUCCCCGGGGACUGAAAACCUGGUGUAGACAACUCAUAAAUAAAGCGAGUGAGACAUGAGCAAGAAAAAGCAUAGCAUACUUCUGGGAAUCACUCCAGGAAAAUAAAUGUGCAAGAUGGCACAUCACCCUACACAAAGCUGGCAGAGGUAAAAUAACAUUUGGGUUUGAUCAUGACAGAAAAUAAAAUAAUUCUGUGUUCGGAUGUACGUGUUGGUCUUUCGCUGAAAUGAAAGGGCAAAGGUAAGAGUCCAAAGUCCAAAAGUGGAGUUCUGACUUGCAGGAAGACAAACCUGCUGGUGACCGUUGCAGCUCAUUUAAGUGAAGUGGAGGAUGAAGGCUGGAUUUGAUCCCUCGCUUUCAGAAAGUCUGUGAAUUCUCUAGGAAUGAAUGGCCACCAUCACUUAUUUCCCGUCUCUGUUGCUCGCUAUUUCUGCAGCAUAUGCUUGCUUUUAAAGGACCUUCUAAAUUCUAG
ensembl:lncRNA